GGGCCUAUAGCUCAGUCUGGGAGAGCGUACGGUUCGCAUCCGUAAGGUCGUCGGUUCGAUCCCGAUUAGGUCCACCA
rnacentral:tRNA from 1 species